AUACGUAGGGGGCAAGCGUUAUCCGGAAUUACUGGGUGUAAAGGGUGAGUAGGCGGCAUGAUAAGUAAGAUGUGAAAGCCCGCAGCUUAACUGCGGGAUUGCAUUUUAAACUAUUGAGCUAGAGUACAGGAGAGGAAAGCGGAAUUCACAGUGUAGCGGUGAAAUGCGUAGAUAUUGGGAAGAACACCAGUGGCGAAGGCGGCUUUCUGGACUGAAACUGACGCUGAGGCACGAAAGCGUGGGGAGCGAACAGGAUUAGAUACCCUGGUAGUCCACGCCGUAAACGAUGAGUGCUAGGUGUCGGAGGGGAACCUUCGGUGCCGCAGCAAACGCAAUAAGCACUCCACCUGGGGAGUACGAUCGCAAGAUUGAA
rnacentral:rRNA from 1 species